UACGUAUGGUGCAAGCGUUAUCCGGAUUUACUGGGCGUAAAGGGAGCGCAGGCGGCGCGCCAAGUCUGAUGUGAAACCCCGGGGCUCAACCCCGGGCAUGCAUUGGAAACUGGCGGGCUGGAGUGCCGGAGAGGUAAGCGGAAUUCCCAGUGUAGCGGUGAAAUGCGUAGAUAUUAGGAGGAACACCAGUGGCGAAGGCGGCUUACUGGACGGCAACUGACGCUGAGGCUCGAAAGCGUGGGGAGCAAACAGG
rnacentral:rRNA from 1 species